AAGAAGUAAGAAUCCGGGAAGUAAGAUUUUCAGAAGGCAGAACGCCUUCCGUGGAUGCCUACGGUAUCUCAGGAAAGGGACGGUGCGUAAACCGAUAAGACAGCAGAGCUAAGAUAAGUGAAGAAGCUGUCGUUUCCCAGGGUGGAAACACCAAAAAGAAAAGAGCUUCUGUGAACUGAAACAUCUAAGUAACAGAAGAAAGGAAUCAAAAGAGAGACCGUGAGUAGUGGCGAGCGAAAGCGGUGGGAGGCGUGUACAAGAGAUUGUACGGAAUCGACCAAGAGGACACUGAAGCGUCUGGAAAGGCGUUCCAAAGAAGGUGAAAGGCCUGUAAGUGAACCAAAAGGACGAGGAAAGAGAGUAUGGCCCGUUGGAAGGGUCGGAAUAAGGGGGAACCCUCCUCCAGCGCCGAAGAAACUGAGAUACACGGAUAGUGAAAAGUACUGUGAAGGAAAGGUGAAAAGAGAUCCCCUAGCGGGGAGUGCAACAGAACUGAAACGGGAGGCGGACGAAACGGUUCAAGUGUUUUCUUUGAAAAAAGAGAGGAUGCGAGCGUACCUUUUGCAUCAUGGGCCAGCGAGUUUUUGUCAGAAGCAAGCUGAAGGGGGAACCCGAAGGCGUAGCGAAAGCGAGUCUGAAGAGGGCGAAAAGUUUCUGGGAAAAGACCCGAAACCGAGUGAUCUAGUCAUGACCAGGUUGAAGUGGAAACAUGGAGGACCGAACCCACGAAUGUCGCAAAAUUCGGGGAUGAGUUGUGAUUAGGGGUGAAAGGCUCAUCAAACUCGGAGAUAGCUGGUACUCCGCGAAAGCUAUGUAGGUAGCGCCCCAUAUAAAAACUAGAAGAAGGUAGAGCCACUGUCUCGGGAAGGGUUACCGACCCGAUAUAAACUCCGAAGGGCUUCUAGGUAUGUAUGGGAGACAGUCUUGGAGCGAGAAGGUUCUUAGACAAGAGGGAAACAGCCCAGAUCCAUAGAUAAGGUCCCGAAACCGAUUCUGAGUGAGGGAAGGAAGGGUGGAAGAAUAGACAGCGGAGAGGUAGGCUUGGAAGCAGCCAUCCUUGAGAGAAAGCGUAAUAGCUCACCCGUCGAAAAGCUUCCACCCGCCGAGAAUGUAACGGGGCUACGAAUCGUACCGAAUCUUGGAUUUCGUUUCUUUUAUUUUCUUUCUUAUUCAAUUUUUUGAAUUUUUGUGUGAACCUUAAAAAAAGGAAAAUAGGAAGACCAAAAAAAUUGAAUAAGAAAGAAAACAAAAGAAAGGAGAGGUAGCGGAGCAUUGUGUAGGCCGUAGAAGCGUUUCCGAAAGAAAACGUGGAGGUAUCACAAGAGAGAAUGCUGGCAUGAGUAACGAAAAGGUCUGUGAGACACAGGCCCGCCGAAAGGGGAAGGUUUCCUGCGCACGGGCCCACCACGCAGGGGUAAGCGGUCCCUUAGUCCCCUCCGAAAGGACUCGGACAAAGGGCAGACUGAAAAGACUGGAGGAAUACGUGACCCAUGAAAAAAGCGCGCGAAGGAAAAGAAGUGAAUUCGAGGCGGUUUUUUUGUGGCAAGAAAUAGCAUAUUCCGGAAUCGAACUUUUUCUUUUCGGAGGAAAAGCUCGAUGGAAAAACACCGUACCGUAAACCGACACAGGUCCCUGGAUGGAAUACAUUGAGGCGGAGAGAGAACGAUUGAGAAGGAACUCGGCAAAAUACUCUCGUAUCUUCGGUAGAAGAGAGCUUGGGUGAACGAAAAGAGGUUCAGACAAGGGCAGAAAAGAGGGGAGGGCGACUGUUUACUAAAAACACAGGUCUCUGCAAACUCGGAAGAGGAGGUAAAGGGGCUGACGCCUGCCCGGUGCCUGAAAGAUAACUGAAAUUGUGCAAGCAAGGAAGGGAAGGACAGGUAAACGGCGGUCGUAACUCUAACGAUCCUAAGGUAGCGUAACCCACUGACCGAUAAUUACGGUCCGGCAUGAAUGGCGUAACGACUUUCCCACUGUCUCCUCAAUCGACUCAGUGAAAUUGAAAUUCGCGUGAAGAUGCGCGGGUCCCAUGGCUAGACGGAAAGACCCUAUGCACCUUGACGACAGCCUUCUCUUGGGAGGCUCGUUUUCUUCUAUAGCCUACGUGGGAGUCAUAGAAGCUUCUUCGCCAGGAGGAGUGGAGACAACAUUGGAAGACCACGGUGGAAAACGAGCCUCUCUCAUCUCGAAAAAAGAACCCCAGAGGAGGGUUCAAAAAUUAAAAAAAGAGAGACAGGGGAUGGUGGGUCGUUUGGCUGGGGCGGCGGCCUUCGAAAGAGUAACGAAGGCGUACAAAGGUUUCCUGAUGACCGAUGGAAAGGGUCAUCGAAGUGUAAGAGCCCAAGGAAGCUUGACUGUAAGACCGACACGUCGAGCAGGUACGCAAGUAGGUUCUAGUGAUCCGGUGAUUUCGCAGGGAGGAGUCAUCGCACAGCGGAUAAAAGGUACGCUAGGGAUAACAGGCUGAUCCUUCCCGAGAGUUCCUAUCGACGGAAGUGUUUGGCACCUCGAUGUCGGCUCUAGAUGACGGGAGGCUGGAGCAGGUCUCAACCGUUGGACUGUUCGUCCAUGAAAAUCUAACGCGAGCUGGGUUUAGAACGUCGUGAGACAGUUCGGUCCCUAUCUACCAUGGGGGACAGAAGAGUGCGGGGUCUCGUUCCUAGUACGAGAGGACCGGAAUGAACAGACUUCAAGUGCACCCGUUGUUCUCUUCUGAGCACCGCGGGGUAGCCUAGUCUGGAUGGCAUAACAGCGGAAAGCAUCAGCGUUUGGAAGGCCUCCUCAACACUACUCUUCUUGGAUUCUUAGGAAUCUUUCCGUUUGUUCGAGACUAGGACAUGGAUAGGCUCGAGGUGGAAGCGGUGUGAGCCGUGCAGCUGACGAGUACUAAUACGGAU
rnacentral:rRNA from 1 species